AUGCACGUUCCCCGGGCGAGCGCCGCCGCUGCCGCCGCCGGCCGAGCACGGCCAGCCCUCCCCGCACACGCACCUCCCGGGAGAAGGGGCAAGAGGAGAAAGAGGCAUCUUACCGCCGCGGAGGCUGCCCGGAGCAGGUGCGCGAGGAGCCGGCAGCACCCGGCGCGCGCCGGCAGCGCGUCCGCCCCCCGCGGCCCCGCUCUCCCCCGCCGCCGAGGCUCAGCCCCCCAGUCCCAUCCCCGGCUGCGGAAGGAGGGGGCCAAGCUGCUUAAUCUGGAAAGGUUUCCGGGAGCGAGGGGCGCCGGGCGGCAGCCGUGGCUCCGGCAUCUCCAUGGAUACCUUGCUGACCCAGUUCUCCGCGCAGCCGAAAGCAGCGGCAGGGGAGCGGACCCCRCGCACGGGGGUGCCUGGGGGGCGGCGUGGUCACCUCCCUCCCUCCCUCCCUCCCGCAGCGUGGGGGCGGCAGGAUGGGUCGCGCCGGUGCCCACGAGGCCACCGCCGGCACCGAGGGGGCUCACGGGGGUGAGAUGCCCCUGGCUCCAGCUCAGAGCAUCCCUGUGGGAUCGAGGGACUGAGCAGCAGCCCAGGGUGGCCGGGACCCUGGCUCCAUCUCGGAGCAUCCCUGCGGGAUCGAGGGGCCGAGCCGCAGCCCAGGGUGCCCGGGACCCCAGCUCCAUCUUGGAGCAUCCCUGCGGGAUCGAGGGGCCGAGCUGCAGCCCGGGGCAGCCAGGACCCCGGCUGGACCCCAUUGCCCUGCAGUGCGGGUCGCAGCUGGAUGUCAGGCCCCCGAAAAGCAAGGCGCGAGGAUACACGGAGGACCGAGCGGUCCCGAGGCAACUCCCGUGGGCCCCAGCGUGCCCCGUGCCCGCCUGGGAUCAGCACCUGCCCGUCGGGAGAAGCAGCAGCGCUAGGCGCUGCACGAGGGCGGCGCUGGGGUUGCGCACGCAGCUGGGGGGGGGGGGUGUCACGGCCUCCAAUUUCCCACUGACGCAAAAGAGGGACAAAGUUCUGACUGCAAAAACGGGGCGCUUCGACCCCGGCUCUGCGGGAAGGCCAUCGGAGGGGGGCGAUGCUGGCAGGAGAGCCCYGGCUGGGUGCUGCCGCAGGUGGGACCGGCCCCGACGCCAGGCGGGAGGGAAGGGAAGGGGGUGGAGGUGA
rnacentral:lncRNA from 1 species